AUUCUCAACUAUUUUCUUCCUUUUGCUAGAUUUUCUUUUAAAUUUUUAUUAAUAGUUUCCUUAGGUGUAUGAUUAGAUUGUUUAUUUUAGCCUGUUCUCUAUCUGAACCUAGGAAUCUAUUGCUGUAAACUUUGCUCUUAGAACAUCUUUUGCUGCAUCUCGUAUGUUUUGAUGUGUUGCAUUUCUCUGUUUAUUUGUCUAAAGGUAUUUUUUGACGUCCCUUUGAUUUCUAUUUUGACCCAUUGUUUGUUCAGCGAUGUACUGUUUUACUUUCACAUACAUGGGAAUUUUCCAAUUUUCAUCCUACCAUUGAUUUUGUUUCAUAUCAUUGUGGUCAGAAAAGAUAUUUAAAGUAAUUUCAAUGUUCUUAAAUUUGUUGCCUACUUAAAUUGUUGUUCUUAAAUUUGUUGCCUACUUUUGGUGCCUAACAUGUGAUCUAUCCUAGAGAAUGUUCCAUAUGGCCUUGAGAAGAAUGUGCAUUCUGCUGCUGCUGUUUGCUGGGAUGUUCUGUAUAUCUCUGAUAGGUCCAUUUGGCCUAACCUGCAUUUCAAGUUCAAUGAUUCCUUAUUGAUUUUCUGCCUGGAUGAUGUGCCUCAUGUUGAAAAUGGGGUAUUCAAGUUCCCUACUAUUUUUCAUUGAUCUCUAUUUCUCCAUUCAUAUCUAUUAAUAUUUGCUUCAUAUAUUUAGGUACUCUGAUGUUAGACACAUAUAUAUGUAAUGUUAUAUCCUCAUGAUUAAUUAACCCCUUUGUCAUCGUAUAAUUACCUUGUUUGUUGUGACAGUUUUUUUUUUACGUUGAGUCCAUUUCAUCUUAUGUAAGAAUAGCCAUGCCUGCUCUCUUUCAUUACAACUUGCAUAAAAUAUUUUUCUGCCCCUUUGCUUUCAGCCUAUUUGUGUGCUUAAAGCUAAAGUGUUUAUCUUGUUGGUAGCAAAUUGUUGGAUUCUGUUUUUUAUGCAUCCUGCCACUUUUUGUCUUUCUUUUUGGAGAAUUUAAUGCAUUUACAUUUAAAAUAAUUAUUGACAGGGAAAUACUUAUUAGAAUUAUUCCAUUUCUUUUCAUUGUUUUCUGACAGAUGUGUAGUUUCUUUUUUCUUCUUCCUAUCCUGCUGUAUUUUUAAAUGAUUUGAUAAUUUUUUGCAGCGGGAUGCUUUGGUUCCUUUAUGUUCUGUUUACUAGGGAUUUUUUUUCUUUGUGCUUAGCAUGAGGCUCACAUAACACAUCUUAUAAUUAUAAUCCUGUAUUUUAAGCUGAUAAAAAUUUGACUUACAUAUAAAAGCUAUGUUUUUGCUCUCCCCUCCCCUCUCAUUUUGUUAUUGUUAUCUCAAUUUACAUCUUUUUUUAUUGAUAUCUAUUAACAAAUUAAUGAAACUAUACUUAUUUUGGUGGGAGCGAACGGGAAGCACCAUGAGGGAUGGGGUGGGCCAGGCAGUAGGGACAAUGAGCCACGACAAUGGCUGCAGCAGUGGGCGGUGGCAGCAGCCAGGGUGCAGCAGUAGGUGUCACAGGCUCAGGGCCACUGUGGCAGCUGCAGGCCUGGCCGUUUAUCAGUGGAAGGACCAGGCCUGGCCACCAAGUUUUGGGAGAGCCCAGAGAUGGUGUCCCAGCUGGAUUCGGUGUGGGUAUGGCUGGGCAAGCACUACAAGAAGUACGUUCAUGCGGAUGCUCCUACAAAUAAAACACUGGCUGUGCUAGUAAUACAGCUUCUUCAGUUCCAGGAAGAUGUCUUUGGGAAGCACGUCACCAACCCGGCCUUCACCAAACUCCCUGCAAAAUGUUUCAUGGAUUUCAAAGCUGGAGGAACCUUGUGUCACAUUCUUGGUGCUGCUUACAAGUAUAAAAAUGAACAGGGAUGGUGGAGGUUUGACCUACAGAACCCAUCCCAAAUGGAUCGUAAUAUGGAAAUGUUUAUGAAUAUUGAAAAAACUUUGGUGCAGAACAAUUGUUUGACCAGAUCCAACAUCUACCUCAUUCUAGACAUUGAUCUAAAGUUGGCUAACAAAUUGAAAGACAUUAUCAAACAACAUCAGGGAACAUUUACUGAUGAGAAGUCAAAAGCUUCCCACCACGUUUAUUCAUAUUCUUCCUCAUAAGAGGAUGAAGAAUGGUUGAGACUGGUGACGAGAAAAGACAAGCAAGUGUUAGUGCAUUGGGGCUUUUACCCAGACAGCUAUGAUACUUGGGUCCAUAGUAAUGAUGUUGAUGCCAAAAUUGAAGAUCCACCAAUUGCAGAAAAGCCAUGGAAGCUUCAUGUAAAAUGGAUCUUGGACACUGAUAUUUUCAAUGAAUGGAUGAUUGAGGAGGAUUAUGAGUGGAUGAAAAUAGGAAGCCUGUGAGUUUUCAUCAGCGGAUUUCAAGAAAGAAUGAAGAGCCAGUCAGAAGUCCAGAAAGAAGAGAUAGAAAAGCAUCAGCUAAUGCUCGAAAGAGGAAACAUUCGCCUUCGCCUCCCCCUCCCACAUCAACAGAAUCACGGAAGAAGAGUGGAAAGAAAGGCCAAGCCAGCCUUUAUGGGAAGCAUAGAAGUCAGAAAGAGGAAGAUGAACAAGAAGAUCUAACCAAGGAUAUGGAAGACCCAACACCCAUACCCAACAUAGAAGAAGUAGUACUUCCCAGAAAUGUGAACCUAAAGAAAGAUAGUGAAAAUAUACCUGUUAAAGGAAGAACUGUAGCAGAUCUAGAUGAGCAGAAUGAAGAAACAAUCACAGCAGGAGGAAAGGAAGAUGAAGAUCCUGCCAAAGGUGAUCAGAGUCAGUCAGUUGACCCUGGUGAAGAUAAUGUGAUAGAGCAGACAAAUCACAUUAUUAUUCCUAGUUAUGCAUCAUGGUUUGAUUAUAACUGUAUUCACGUGAGUGAACAGCAUGCUCUUCCUGAGUUCUUCAAUGGAAAAAACAAAUCCAAGACUCCAGAAAUAUACUUGGUAUAUCAAAACUUUAUGAUUGACAUGUAUCGCCUAAACACCCAAGAGUACUUAACCAGCACUGCUUGUCAGAGGAACCUGACUGGAGAUGUAUGUGCUGUAAUGAGGGUCUAUGCCCUUUUAGAGAAGUGGGAACUUGUUAAUUACCAAGUUGACCCAGAAAGUAGACCCAUAGUAAUGGAACUGCCUCCUAGUCCUCAUUUUAAUGUAUUAGCUGAUACUCCUCUGGGCUUGUGCCUCUGCAUCUUCGAUCACUUCAGGUCCCUGAUGCUCAACAGAUGCUAAAUUUUCCUGAGAAAAGCAAGGAAAAACCAAUUGAUUUGCAGAACUUUGGUCUUCGUACUGACAUCUACUCCAAGAAAACAUUAGUCAAGAGUAAAGGUGCUAGUGCUGGAAGAGAAUAGACUGAACAGAAGGCCUUUCUACUUCUGGAGGCCCUGGACAUGUACAAGGAUGAUUGGAACAAAGUGUCAGAACAUGUUGUAAGUCACAUUCAGGAUGAAUGUAUCCUCCACUUUUUGAGACUUCCCAUUGAGGACCCAUACCUUGAGAAUUCAGAUGCUUCCCUGGGGCCUUUGGCCUACCAGUCCAUCCCAUUUAGUCAGUCAGGAAAUCCAGUCAUGAGUACUGUUGCUUUUUUGGCAUCUGUGGUGGACACUUGCAUGGCAUCUGCUGCAACAAAAGUGGCUUUGGAGGAAUUUUCUUAGGUCCAGGAUGAGGUACCACUGGAAUUGGUUGAAGCUCAUGUCAAGAAGUACAAGAAAGCAGCAUGAGUCUCUGGAAAAGUGGAUCCCACGUACGGCCUGGAGAGCAGCUGCAUUGCAGUCCCAGGGCCUGAUAAGCCAGAGAAGCUUGAAGGAGCUGAAGAGGAAAAAAUGGAAGCUGAUUCUGAUGGUCAGUAUCCUGAAAAGUCAGAAAACAAAGUGGAAAAUGAAACAGAUGAAGGUGAUAAAGCACAAGAUGGAGUAAAUGAAAAAAAAUGGUGAAAAGGAACAGGAUAGUGGAGUGAGAAUACAAAAUCAGAAGAAAAGGAGACUGAAGAGAACAAAGAAUUCACUGAUAAAUGUAAACAAAGAGAAAAUGAUAUUGGGAAGAGGAAAGUAGAACAUGAAAUUGUUGAAGGAAAUGUUGCCACAGCCGCAGCAGCUGCUCUUGCCUCAGCUGCUAUCAAAGGCAAGCACUUGGCUGCAGUGGAAGAAAGAAACAUCAAGUCCCUGGUAGCUCUCCUGGUUGAGACACAAAUGAAGAAACUAGAGAUCAAACUUUGACAUUUUGAAGAGCUGGAAACUAUCAUGGACAGGGAGAAAGAAACUCUAGAACAACAGAGGCAGUAGUUGCUUACUGAACGCCAAAACUUCCACAUGGAACAGUUGAAGUAUGCUGAAUUAUGAGCACGACAGCAAAUGGAACAGCAGCAGCAUGGCCAGAAACCUCAACAGGCACACCAGCAAUCAGGAGGACCUGGCCUGGCCCCACUUGGAGCAGCAGGGCACCCUGGCAUGAUGCCUUAUCAACAGCUCCCUCCCUACCCUCUAAUGCACCACCAGAUGCCACCACGUCAUCCACCCCAGCCGGGUCAGAUACCAUGCCCAGGUUCCAUGAUGCCUAGACAGCACAUGGCAGGCCGAAUGAUUCCCAGUUGCAGCUAACGUCCAGCCCUCUGGGAGUGGCCCCAUCCCUCCUAGAAUGCCUCAAAUGACAGGAAACAACUUAGGACCCCAGGUACCACUGACAGCACCUAACAGUAUGUAUCCCCCUCCACCACAGCAGCAGCCACCAACACCACCACCUGCAGAUGGGGUCCCUCCACCUCCUGUUCCAGGCCUGCCAGCCUCAGAUGCUCCUUAGCCUGGAAGAUGCAGGGAACGUCCACACCCACCACUAUGAGCUGGAGUGGGGAUGACAAGAUUUGUGUUCCUUAACUUUCUUAGGUUUCUUUCAGGGUUUUUGUUCUCACAGCUCCAAGCACGUGUCCUGUGACUCCCCAUUCCUCUUAUCACCCCUCUCUUUGACACAUUUUGUGUUGGGUCCUCAGUCAACACUUAAGGGGAAACCUGUGGUAACAGUGUGCCCUGGUCAUCCUUAAAAUAAUCUGCAUCUCCCCUGUCCUGGUGUGGGGGUAUGCUGACAGUUUCUCUGCAGGUCCUGUCAUUUUUAGCAUGCUAUGUCUUUAUCAUUUUUGGUCUUUCAGUUUUUUGCUUUGUCUUAAGCUUCUGUGGAUAAUACUGUAUAAUCAUGUUUUUAUCAUUCUGUUAUUAUUGUUUUAAAGGAGAGCAUCCUAAGUUAAUAGGAAUCAAAAAAUAGUGAUGGGCAGAAGGGGGAUAGCCACAGGGGACAAAACUUAAGGCAUUAUAAGUGACCUUAUUUCAGCUUUUCUGAGCUAAGAAUGGUGCUGAUGGUGAAGUUUGAGACUUUUGCCACACACAAAUGCAUGAAAAUUAAAAGAAAUAUGGAA